GGAGAACAACGCGUGGCUGGAGGAUCAAUUGAAAAAUGGAUAAGAAAAUAAAACAAAAAAAUGAUCAAAUUAUGAAGCUGCAGGCCCAAUUAUUGGAACAACACAAAAAAAUAAAUAACAGCAAAGCUAAGGAUGCUCAAAUUUUGAGUCUACAUGCUCAGUUAUUGGAAAAUAAAAAAAUUAGAAUGGGACACUUUCCAAACAGUGAAGGAGGUUUUUCCAAACUCAUCCCUAACUGAAUGUGAGCAU